GAUGAACGCUGGCGGCGUGCCUAAUACAUGCAAGUCGAGCGAACAGACGAGGAGCUUGCUCCUCUGACGUUAGCGGCGGACGGGUGAGUAACACGUGGAUAACCUACCUAUAAGACUGGGAUAACUUCGGGAAACCGGAGCUAAUACCGGAUAAUAUAUUGAACCGCAUGGUUCAAUAGUGAAAGACGGUUUUGCUGUCACUUAUAGAUGGAUCCGCGCCUCAUUAGCUAGUUGGUAAGGUAACGGCUUACCAAGGCAACGAUGCGUAGCCGACCUGAGAGGGUGAUCGGCCACACUGGAACUGAGACACGGUCCAGACUCCUACGGGAGGCAGCAGUAGGGAAUCUUCCGCAAUGGGCGAAAGCCUGACGGAGCAACGCCGCGUGAGUGAUGAAGGUCUUCGGAUCGUAAAACUCUGUUAUCAGGGAAGAACAAAUGUGUAAGUAACUAUGCACGUCUUGACGGUACCUAAUCAGAAAGCCACGGCUAACUACGUG
rnacentral:rRNA from 1 species